UGUUUCGGCAAGGGGGUCAUCCCGACUUACCAACCCGAUGCAAACUGCGAAUACCGGAGAAUGUUAUCACGGGAGACACACGGCGGGUGCUAACGUCCGUCGUGAAGAGGGAAACAACCCAGACCGCCAGCUAAGGUCCCAAAGUCAUGGUUAAGUGGGAAACGAUGUGGGAAGGCCCAGACAGCCAGGAUGUUGGCUUAGAAGCAGCCAUCAUUUAAAGAAAGCGUAAUAGCUCACUGGUCGAGUCGGCCUGCGCGGAAGAUGUAACGGGGCUAAACC
rnacentral:rRNA from 1 species